rnacentral:miRNA from 1 species
UGUGUGUGUGUGUGUACGUGUACAUAUGUUUAUGUGUGUACACACACACACACACACACACA